UACGGAGGGUGCGAGCGUUGUCCGGAAUCACUGGGCGUAAAGGGCGCGUAGGCGGUGCGAGAAGCGUGUGGUGAAAGGCCGGGGCUCAACUCCGGCUCGGCCGUGCGGACUCUCGCGCUUUGUGAGUGCUGUAGAGGCGGGCGGAAUUCCGGGUGUAGCGGUGAAAUGCGCAGAUAUCAGGAGGAACACCAAUGGCGAAGGCAGCUCGCUGGGACGGUACUGACGCUGAGGCGCGAAAGCGUGGGGAGCAAACAGG
rnacentral:rRNA from 1 species